rnacentral:rRNA from 1 species
AAACGGGUGGUAAUGCCGGAUGCUCCGACAUGACGCAUGUCGUGUCGGGAAAGAUUCAUCGGUAUGGGAUGGGGUCGCGUCCUAUCAGCUUGAUGGCGGGGUAACGGCCCACCAUGGCUUCGACGGGUAGCCGGCCUGAGAGGGCGACCGGCCACAUUGGGACUGAGAUACGGCCCAGACUCCUACGGGAGGCAGCAGUGGGGAAUAUUGCACAAUGGGCGCAAGCCUGAUGCAGCGACGCCGCGUGCGGGAUGACGGCCUUCGGGUUGUAAACCGCUUUUGACUGGGAGCAAGCCCUUCGGGGUGAGUGUACCUUUCGAAUAAGCACCGGCUAACUACGUGCCAGCAGCCGCGGUAAUACGUAGGGUGCAAGCGUUAUCCGGAAUUAUUGGGCGUAAAGGGCUCGUAGGCGGUUCGUCGCGUCCGGUGUGAAAGUCCAUCGCUUAACGGUGGAUCCGCGCCGGGUACGGGCGGGCUUGAGUGCGGUAGGGGAGACUGGAAUUCCCGGUGUAACGGUGGAAUGUGUAGAUAUCGAAAAAAAAACACCACC